rnacentral:rRNA from 1 species
GACGAACGCUGGCGGCGUGCUUAACACAUGCAAGUCGAACGGAAAGGCCCUGCUUUUGUGGGGUGCUCGAGUGGCGAACGGGUGAGUAACACGUGAGUAACCUGCCCUUGACUUUGGGAUAACUUCAGGAAACUGGGGCUAAUACCGGAUAGGAGCUCCUGCUGCAUGGUGGGGGUUGGAAAGUUUCGGCGGUUGGGGAUGGACUCGCGGCUUAUCAGCUUGUUGGUGGGGUAGUGGCUUACAAAGGCUUUGACGGGUAGCCGGCCUGAGAGGGUUACCGGCCACAUUGGGACUGAGAUACGGCCCAGACUCCUACGGGAGGCAGCAGUGGGGAAUAUUGCACAAUGGGCGGAAGCCUGAUGCAGCAACGCCGCGUGCGGGAUGACGGCCUUCGGGUUGUAAACCGCUUCCGCCUGUGACGAAGCGUGAGUGACGGUAAUGGGUAAAGAAGCACCGGCUAACUACGUG